rnacentral:rRNA from 1 species
GUCUACGGCCAUGCCACCCUGAACAAGCCCGAUCCUGUCUGUUGUCGGAAGCUAAGCAGGGUUGGGCCUCGUUAGUACUUGGAUGGGAGACCACCUAGGAAGACCAGGUGCUGUAGGCG